CCUGAUCAGAUAUUAAACUGGGUUCUGGAUUGUGGAAACUGUAUUAGGUCGAAUCAUUACAGCUCAUAGGCUCGGUUAGCGUCUGGCCGGUGCAUCGAGUGCAUCGGAUGCAUUGAAUGCGUCAUCGAUUGGCAGUGGAUGUCGGCGCGGUGCGUAGACGUCACGCAAUCGAGGCUGAGACGUCACCGGGAUUGCUUUACACCGUACGCGGCGAACGCGAUGCGACAUUCGCGCACAAGGCACUUCGCACGCGCUCGCUGAACUGGUGGGAUCAAAAUCGAGAGUCGCAGCGGAGUCACGCAAGCGCUAACCCUUGGAGGAACCUUCAGAUCAUUCGUCUCUGCAGUUUGCGCUUACGGAGAUGAAAAGAAGGUGACGAAGCGAGGUGACAAAGAG